UCACGAUGUUCGACCAGCCCAUACCGUGGGCC
rnacentral:sRNA from 1 species